rnacentral:rRNA from 1 species
AUUGAACGCUGGCGGCAUGCCUUACACAUGCAAGUCGAACGGCAGCGGACCUUCGGGUGCCGGCGAGUGGCGAACGGGUGAGUAAUGCAUCGGAACGUGCCAUUGAGUGGGGGAUAACGUAGCGAAAGUUGCGCUAAUACCGCAUAUUCUGUGAGCAGGAAAGCAGGGGACCGCAAGGCCUUGCGCUCUUUGAGCGGCCGAUGUCAGAUUAGCUAGUUGGUGAGGUAACGGCUUACCAAGGCGACGAUCUGUAGCGGGUCUGAGAGGAUGAUCCGCCACACUGGAACUGAGACACGGUCCAGACUCCUACGGGAGGCAGCAGUGGGGAAUUUUGGACAAUGGGGGCAACCCUGAUCCAGCCAUGCCGCGUGAGUGAAGAAGGCCUCGG